AACGAACGCUGGCGGCAGGCCUAACACAUGCAAGUCGAGCGCCCCGCAAGGGAGCGGCGCACGGGUGAGUAACGCGUGGGAAUAUGCCCUGGGGCGUGGGGAGUAACGGCGGGGAAACUGCCGCUAAUACCCGGUACGCCAUGAGUGGGAAAGGAGCAAUCCGCCCUGGGAGUAGCCCGCGUUGGAUUAGCUAGUUGGUGUGGUAAGAGCGCACCAAGGCGACGAUCCAUAGCUGGUCUGAGAGGAUGAUCAGCCACACUGGGACUGAGACACGGCCCAGAUCCUACGGGAGGCAGCAGUGGGGAAUAUUG
rnacentral:rRNA from 1 species